rnacentral:rRNA from 1 species
UACCAGCACCCCGAGUGGUCGGGACGUUUAUUGGGCCUAAAGCAUCCGUAGCCGGUUCUACAAGUCUUCCGUUAAAUCCACCUGCUUAACAGAGGGGCUGCGGAAGAUACUAUGGAGCUAGGAGGCGGGAGAGGCAAGCGGUACUCGAUGGGUAGGGGUAAAAUCCGUUGAUCCAUUGAAGACCACCAGUGGCGAAGGCGGCUUGCCAGAACGCGCUCGACGGUGAGGGAUGAAAGCUGGGGGAGCAAACCGG